GUUAAUUUCCUGGAGCUCCUGGUUGGUUCUUGAGCAGAUGAUCUCGAUGAGAGAGUCCUCGUCAGUUCCCAGCCCCUGUGAACCAAGAAGCACAGUCAUCAGCCAUCUUCCUCAUCAAUGGCCUCCUUCGCUCAUCUCUAUCAGAAUGAGAGGAAUGUGUUACCAUCAGUACUCAGUGGAGGCAACAGUCCUGAAAUUAAAUUAGAAACACCAUAUCAAGAAGCCAUCAGAAGUCAUAAAGAUGAAACAAGAGAACUGAACACAGUGCCUGGCACCUGGUAAGAAAAAACACCGAAGAAGAGUUCAGUUCACAGACUGCUGUAUAGUUCUCUGCUCUCAGUGAAACAGUUCUUUGCCUUUGUAUAACAGUUAAGUGACCAGCCAGCAGAGUUGGAAUUCAAUCCAAUUAUUGGAAAUCCCCAUAAAAGCCCUGAUGAUUAACCUGAAUUUCACCUAAGAGGCAGCACCAACUGUAGUCUGAAGGCAUCCCAAUGCAUUCACCUGAAUUAUUUACCAAGCAAACAGCCACUGAGAUGGGAUCACGGAUGCACUACACACAUGCUAAUUAAUGCCAGCAACCAUAAAGAAACUAAAUGGAGUUUCAGCAAGUGGAAGACUCCUUCCCAAAACUCCACCCACAUCAGCUAUUUCUCCCAUACCAUUGCAUGCAUGUUUCCAAUUGAACUGGAAAGAGGAAAAAUUCAUGGAGCCCAGGAUCAUCUGCCUGGUCAAUGCUGCUAAAGGCAGGACCUACACUGGAACACCAGAACAGUGUAUCUGCCAGUGAGACUGAACCAUCUUAUCUUUAGGACACCGCCGCUUCCCCUCGACCUGCUAUCCUAAUGGAUGAAGCAGUUUACUCUUGUGGAAAAUACAUGGUACAGGUUAAAGCUCCAAGGGUCAAAUGGUUCCUCUCCACUGCUGCCCAAGAUGCAGGAAGGAGGCAGCUGAACGCCGAGCUACCUCAGCACAACCACCAACAGCACAUGGCCAGUGCCUGGAGCCGGGAAAGCUCUACAGUGAACACAGCUGCAGAUACCUGUGAGAAGAGGCUCUGCCUCUGAAUCUGUACCUUCUGACUUCUCAUUUUCCAGUGCUUAGGAAAGGGUUUGCUGGACAGAAGGAUUUAGGGACUAACAGAAACUGGGCGGGUGGGGCAAAACUUGAAGAAGAAACAAACCUGAACAAGGCUUUCUUUUCCAUCCCAUCCCCCUGUGUUUGAUACAGGUGGUCACGAAGUCCUCUAAGCAAAGACUCACACUGGGGAACAGUGAUGUGGGGGAGAAUUCCACAAAGGGUAGAGGAUGACAUGCUCAAUGCUGGGAUCCAGGCAGACUUUUUAAAAUGUAUUUUUCAAAAACUAAUAAAAAUGAAGGAGGGAAGAAUAGAAGUUCACUGGAUUAGACAAAGGGGAAUGAAAGGAAGGGGGGAUGGGAACAAAAGACAGUAGAAUGAAUUGGACGUAACUUUCCUUGUUCAUAUAUGAACACACGACCAGUGUAGCUCCACAUCAUGUACGACCUCAAGAACGGGAAGUUAUCCUCCACGUAUGUAUGAUAUGUCAAAAUACACUCUACUGUCAUGUAAAUGAAUAAAUUUAUGUCAUGUCAUUUAAAAAGAAUAAAUUUUAAAAAGAACUAAACAAAUAGAAGUUAAGCUUUUGCAACACUGGUGAGGAAACAAAACACAAAUGUACUCAUUUGGCUCCUGAUGGGAAAUAGAACAAGGAGGUUUUUAAAAAGCAUCUACUCCUUGAAAGAAAAUAGUCAGAUAAUCUAGUCAGUUAACUACAGCGUUUUCAACACUCCAGUUGGGGGAAUCCAAAGGUCAGUCACUGUUCUAAAUGCCAGUAGACCUGAAGUAAUCAUUCUGCAUUGAAGGCUACAGGAAGGCACCGCUGUCAGCGGGCUCAAGCAGCCAACUUUGGGGUCCUGGGUGUCUUCAGUCACCCACCACAUUUUUCAAGACAAAGAAGACUUGCAGUCUAAAAUGAUGGCUGAGUCCAAAAACCACAAAAUCUGCCUCCUGGAGUUUCCUCCUCCUCGCUGUGGGUAGAAACCCCAAGUCAGCUCCAUGGAAAAUGUGUGUCUUUAUUGUUCAUGGCAAUGAACCAACAGCCAUUUGGAACAGGAUGCUGACUCACAGCUGUGGAGACACACUGACUGCACAAAGAAAAUGGAUUUCAUUUGUGUUUGAUGAAAAGCUCAGGAGCCCGUAGGGUGGUGGUGAUGGGUUGAAAAGUAAAGGAAAAUUGCCCAGAUCCUCUCCUUAUCUAGAUCAUGGGAGAAAUCAUGAUUCAGCUCAGAUUUCUAGGCAUAGUGGUAUCAAAUUUUGGAAGAUAUCAUCUUUAUAUUAAGGUCAGAGGCAUGCCACACAAAGAGGGCAGACCACAGAUCCAAGGAUAUAUUCACAUGAACAUGUUUUACUCAUUAGAACAACAACCUUCCCCUGUGCACCUACUGUGUGCCAGGCAUUGUAUUAAGUGCUUUGCAUAUAUCCUGUCAUUUUUCUUACAUCCACAUGAAGUGGAUGUGAUUAUUAUCCCCGUUGCUAAUGCUCAACAUAUGUUUAUCCUAUAUGUAUGAGUCAUGUCUGUACCUUUUUGAAAUUAUACUUAUGAUAUUUCUUCAUAUCACACUCCUCUAUCUAGGUCCUAAGAAAGGACUGGGAAUGGUAAUAUGUCUGUACAUGUAUAGAACUAUUUAGUCAUACAAAUGCACUCACAGUUAGCAACCUGUAGGUGAUAAUUUGACAUGCAGUAACAAUGCGUAGCUACUGAAGAAAUAACCCAAUUGAGUUUUUUUUAACAGAGGGGCUAGAACACUCUCUUCCAGAUAUAGCCAUUAAGAACUUGGUGGAGAGAGGCGAUCUUUUGCACUAAGCUUGUUAUGCUGGCUACUCAUCCAUCUACUGGUGUGGUUUUAGGAUAGAGAAGCCCCUGACCCAAUACACACACAUCAUUGCCCAAAAGAACCUUCCUGCCAUCAGCCCUGGUGCUAGGAAGCCUGGAAUUCCUGCCCUCUCAAUCAUUUGGCAAAAUGGAACUUAGAGAAUCCAACCAGGAGGGGCAACAGAUAAAAGGAGAGAACUCUGAAUAAGCAGCAGUGACAGGAGCGCUCUGGGAAGCACACAGGACAAAGACCGGCAAGAUCCUGGGGCACAGUCUCCCUCCCUAUUCCCAGCAUUCUCACUCUGGGACAGAGACGACAAAAAUACUUAUUUUUCCAGGAUGCAGAAAAGACUAGUUGAGGGCUGGGGUUGUGGCUCAGCAGUAGAGCGCUUGCCUAGCACUUUCGAGGCCCUGGGUUCAAUCCUCAGCACCACAUAAAAAUAAACAAAAUAAAACUAUUGUGUCCGACUGAAAAAUAAAUAUUAAA